UACGAAGGGGGCUAGCGUUGCUCGGAAUCACUGGGCGUAAAGGGUGCGUAGGCGGGUCUUUUAAGUCAGGGGUGAAAUCCUGGAGCUCAACUCCAGAACUGCCUUUGAUACUGAAGAUCUUGAGUUCGGGAGAGGUGAGUGGAACUGCGAGUGUAGAGGUGAAAUUCGUAGAUAUUCGCAAGAACACCAGUGGCGAAGGCGGCUCACUGGCCCGAUACUGACGCUGAGGCACGAAGGCGUGGGGAGCAAACAGG
rnacentral:rRNA from 1 species